rnacentral:rRNA from 1 species
GAUGAACGCUGGCGGCGUGCCUAAUACAUGCAAGCCGAGCGAACGGACGAGAAGCUUGCUUCUCUGAUGUUAGCGGCGGACGGGUGAGUAACACGUGGAUAACCUACCUAUAAGACUGGGAUAACUUCGGGAAACCGGAGCUAAUACCGGAUAAUAUUUUGAACCGCAUGGUUCAAAAGUGAAAUACGGUCUUGCUGUCACUUAUAGAUGGAUCCGCGCUGCAUUAGCUAGUUGGUAAGGUAACGGCUUACCAAGGCAACGAUGCAUAGCCGACCUGAGAGGGUGAUCGGCCACACUGGAACUGAGACACGGUCCAGACUCCUACGGGAGGCAGCAGUAGGGAAUCUUCCGCAAUGGGCGAAAGCCUGACGGAGCAACGCCGCGUGAGUGAUGAAGGUCUUCGGAUCGUAAAACUCUGUUAUUAGGGAAGAACAUAUGUGUAAGUAACUGUGCACAUCUUGACGGUACCUAAUCAGAAAGCCACGGCUAACUACGUG